UACAGAGGUCCCAAGCGUUGUUCGGAUUUACUGGGCGUAAAGGGUGCGUAGGUGGCGAGGUAGUUUGAUGUGAAAUCUCCGAGCUCAACUCGGAAAUGGCAUUGAAUGCUAUCCCGCUUGAGGGUCGGGGGGGAGACUGGAAUUCUCGGUGUAGCAGUGAAAUGCGUAGAUAUCGAGAGGAACACCAGUGGCGAAGGCGAGUCUCUGGACGACUCCUGACACUGAGGCACGAAAGCUGGGGGAGCAAACAGG
rnacentral:rRNA from 1 species